GGGCUUGACAUCCCACGAACCUGGACACAGGUGCUGCAUGGCUGUCGUCAGCUCGUGUCGUGAGAUGUUGGGUUAAGUCCCGCAACGAGCGCAACCCUUGUCUGCUGUUGCCAUCAGGUUAUGCUGGGCACUCUGCGGAGACUGCCGGUGACAAACCGGAGGAAGGUGGGGAUGACGUCAAGUCCGCAUGGCCUUUAUGUCCAGGGCCACACACGUGCUACAAUGGGCGGUACAAACCGUUGCGAUCCCGCGAGGGGGAGCUAAUCGGAGAAAGCCGCUCUCAGUUCGGAUUGCAGGCUGCAACUCGCCUGCAUGAAGUUGGAAUCGCUAGUAAUCGCGGAUCAGCACGCCGCGGUGAAUACGUUCCCGGGCCUUGUACACACCGCCCGUCACAUCACGAAAGCUGGCUGUACUCGAAGUCGCUGAG
rnacentral:rRNA from 1 species